AAGCUUGCUCCUCCCACACUAGAUUUUAUGUCUUUCCAUUUCCUUCCCAUCACGUUGCUAUUUCCUCAUACUAUAGAACCGGUGAACACUACGAGCAACGCCACCCAAUCAUGUUAAAGGAAAAAAAAAACAAAAAUCAAAUAAACUAUUAACAACUAAUCGCAUAUUUAAUGUUUACAACCCAAAACAAAUGCAUAACAGAACCACCACCGUAAAAACAAAAAAGAAACACAACCACCACUUGGUGACACAGUAAUUCGAUUGUUUAUAAAAAAAUUGGUUGUCGGAAUCAGAUAUAGUCCUAAUUCUUGCGAAAAAAGAUCUAAUCCUAAUCAAAGUUUUCGUCUUUGAGAUCUGGAUUUGGAUUCGGAUUCUCCAAGAUCUGAAUGUUUUCAACAUUUGAGUCAAGGUCGACGUUUACACCGGCAACCGUUAUUGUCUCUUUGUUCUUUUCUCUAGAAGUGGUGCGUUGUUGCUUUGGUUCUUCGGACUGAUUUAUUCGGUGAUUUACCCAUUCCUAAAAACUAAUUGAUUAAAAGUAAUGUCCAGAUUAUUCAUUAAGUAGCUACAAAAACUCUAAAUUACAGUACUUUUUUUUGUGAUAAUUUCAAGUAGAAAAAACUAUGAUUCAUGAAUAAAAACAAUCUCUGUUUUGUUUUGCUUCUGUUGAUUUUCUUAGGAUGGGAUGGGAGAUUCUAGAAACAAGAGAGGGUGAGGAGAUAAAGGUUUUAUCGGAAACGAGGAGAUGAGGAAAGAGAGAGGAUGAAGUUGGAUUAGACUGGGUGUGAGAAAAAAUCUAGUGUUGAUAGACUAUUGGAAAACUAUAUUCCUUAUUUGAUCUAAUGGUUAAAAAUGAACUUAUAAAGUUGUGCAUCCAUGCACAAAUUUAACAAUUUGUGCAUUCUAAAUG
rnacentral:lncRNA from 1 species